GACUGCUCAGAAGGUAGUGAGUUUUUUCAGUUAUUAUCCAGUCAGUUAGAACUCCUUCUUACUCACAGUACUUUCCCUCCUUCUUGCUACUGCACUUGACUAGUCUUAA
ensembl:misc_RNA Y_RNA Y RNA